ACUGGUUACUUGCUCCUAUUUAUAGAUUAGAGCAAGCUCGUCCAAAGUAACGUCUUUGCUAAUCAUAAAUUUAGGUAACAGCUCAUUUGCAUCAUAUCUUGGGUCCCUUCCCUUCACCCAUGUGCAUUUAGUCUAGGAAUUUGUAUCUCGUUACCCUUAGCUUCAAUAACUGUGAGUAAAUCUAAAGAGU